rnacentral:lncRNA from 1 species
AUGUACAAUCUUUACUGAUAGAGUUUACUACAGAGAGAGAGAGAGGCCCUAAAUAAUUCCACGAGACGACGGGUCAUGAGUAUGAGACUGCCUUUUGAAAAAUUCGGUGGCCAGGCGCAAGAAUUGCCAAUGGAUCAUAUCUGGAUUUCCUCCUCACAAAUUCUCCCCACUUGUCCCCGAAAUGGGAUCUCCACUCUUCUCUUGUCGUGUAAUGUGGCAGAUACUGCUUCAACCCUAUCCCUGCUUCUUCACUGAAUUCCAGUAUUCUUCUGUUCCGCCUCAAGAUCUCUUCUACUCCAUCCUUUCCUGCCGACCCUGGAGAUGCCGAUGUUAGGAUCGCCACCAGGUAGAAUACCUCUUCCUCCGGUGUUACUGCUGAUGUUUGAUUGUCCCACCUGCUCACCAACAUGCUUUUGUUUUGUCAACAAGUGAAAAGAAACAAAAUCAUGACUAGCUCUUUCUUUCUUUCUUUCUUACUUUGAUUUGUUCACUGGGUAGACGAUGACUGGGCCGUUGCUUGUAUCCGUUAGUAUGUUUCCAAAUACACCUCUUGCAAAUUCAUUGAUUUUGCUUCUUGGUACCAGGAGGUUCAGCCAUGGAUGUGGCACCUCCCACUGCCCUUUCGAUCGGAGUUUUACCUCAGACACAUGUACCCUGUCCAAGAAUGCUUCAUAUGCUACCUCCGUUGUAAACAGUGUCGACGUCACGUAGCUUAGCUCUGAUAAUGUUUCUUUCACUUCCUGGAUUGGACAAAUAUAUAUAUAUUUUCAGUUCCAAUGAAUGUCAUCUACCAAAGAAGAUUCUACCGAUUGCUUCUACUCUGUUUUCUCACCUGGUUGAUUACGUCUUUGUUAUCUUGCUUCAAAUACUUGGCUAGCUCCAGACAAUACAGAGUCCUUCCAUCAAACUUGAAUUGGCUUGCUUCUAAAGGCUCUUCUGCGGUGAAAGACAACCUCCAGCUGUUCAGGAGGCCUGUCCUGUUUAUUAUCACAAACCCUUCUAUGUAAUCGAAUUUGUGGCCCUGGGCAGAUAUUAGUUGCUCUUGGUCCUUGGCAAAAGCUGCAAAAUCCAGGCUUUUGACUCAGAUGAAGCGCAAAAAGGAUUGGUUCCUGUAUCAUCCGUGAGAGUAAAAGAAUGGUGGAACGUGCAAGGGAAAAAAUCCUUGUGCUCUCUGUGGGAAAAUAGGAGGCAAUUUCACUAGUGUUGGGACCCAACAACACAAUCCUUGUAAACUAAAAGAGGCUGUGGCAGCUCAAAGCAAAGCAACCAAUGAGUGGAUAACAGAGAGGGACUCACUGCUUCUUCAGAUAGAAUCAUCUGGAGUGGUCCAUUUAUUUUUAUUACUACUUACUAUCUCUUUGGCACGAGUUACUUUCAGUUUCUUCAAGAUUAGGAUCAUUCUUCAAUGGAGCCAGCAAUAGUAAUCAGAAAGGUAUAAAAAUGUUAUGGAGAAGGAUUAAAAAAGAAAAGAGAGAGAGAGAGAGAGAGACUGGUGACAAAAGGUGGCCCAGUGGAGAUUGUGCACCCAUUAGAAAUCUCGAGUGUAGGAGUAGGGUCAAAGAGAGAUGAUGGUUUGACCAGUCCAGUUUUGAACAGAGAGUGAAGAAAGAAGUUGGGCUCUUCUCAACUCCAUUGGUGCGGUGGUGGGCAUUGCAGAAUGAGGUGUGUGAACUGAAAACAGAGUUGGUGGAAAUGGUUGGUCUCUAGAAGCAGAGGAGAAGCGACCAGAGAGCACUAGCGGGAGAGUCGUGGGGCAUAGCUUGUCCCAAGCAAAAUCUUGGUCCCAAUAUAAAAUAUGCCUUUGAACAUUUGUCAGCCAAAGUGUCGAAGGGACGGCUAUGGUGGUGUUGGAAGUGGAUUGGUCCACGACUGUGACCUCUCUGCUGACUUGUCACCUUAUACUAUAAUUGGUGCGUUCUUCCCACCUUCACGUGGCUUUGUUCCCCCAUUAACGUUUUUUUUUCCACCUCAAAAAAAAUAAAAGUGUGUGUUGUGUCUACCUCUCUCGUUUUCUUUUUACAGUUUGGAAGAUAUUAUUAUAUGAUUCUGUUUUUCAAAGAAAAAGACUACUGGAGUAU